rnacentral:rRNA from 1 species
GAUGAACGCUCGCGGCAGGCUUAAUACAUGCAAGUCGUGGGGCAGCAGGACUGUAGCCCUACAGUUGCUGGCGACCGGCAAACGGGUGCGGAACACGUACGCAACUUACCCUGAACUGGGGGAUAGCCCGGGGAAACCCGGCUUAAUACCCCGUAAUAUACUGGAGUGGCAUCCCUUUAUUAUUAAAGCUCCGGCGGUUCGGGAUGGGCGUGCGGCUGAUUAGGUAGUUGGUUGAGGUAACGGCUCACCAAGCCUACGAUCAGUAACUGGUGUGAGAGCACGACCAGUUACACGGGCACUGCGGCACGGGCCCGAAUGCUACGGGAGGCAGCAGUAAGGAAGAUUGAGCAAUGGAGGCAACUCUGACCCAGCCAUGCCGCGUGGAAGAGGAAGGCCCUCUGGGUGGUAAACUUCUUGUAUAGGGGACGAAACCUGUGUAUUCUUACGCAGUUGACGGUACCCUAGGAAUAAGCACCGGCUAACUCCGUG